AGGGAGAUUAAUGUGAAUGGGGUGCCGUCUUUUCCGGUGGUCAUCGAUGGCUAUCACUAUCGCCGCGCCAUCUCUUGCAAUAAGCGCCACCGUCGAGCCUCGAUCCCGCCCGUCCUCAUCCGCUUCUUCCUCUCCUCCUCCGCCGCCCUCGCUCUUGGUAGGUUUGUUGAUGGAUCUCGUCGGCUACGUGGAGGACAAGGCCGCCGCAUCACCAUGCGAUCUUCCCACUAGGGAGUAUGCACCGUCUUCUCCAUGUGCUUGUCAAGUCUUGGGAGGGUUCUUCGUUAGGCUUCUUUCUAAACGAAGGAACAGCUUCCUUCGCUUGGUGGAUCAGUUGGAAAAGGGUCAGUGGGUGGAUUGUUAUUGGAAUGUUGACUGUGUUCAAGAAGACAAAUGUUAAUUUCCAGUUUUGGCUUGCAGAGUUGUGCUAGGGGAGGGACAUCACAAUUCAGCAACUUUAUGGUGCUUAGGCCACUUGUGAUGGUUCUCAUGCUAAAGAUGAGCCCUUCUUCACCUGGCUUUCCAGCUUGUGUUGCAAGCCAUGGGGGGAGGGGAAGCAACAGCAGCAGCAGCAACACAGCCUUAAAUGCCAUGACGGCGACUUGUGAUAUUCCGUGUAGCUGACCGUAUGCUGCUCUCCUUGAGUGCCUUGGACGAGGAUGUGCCUCGGAUCUUAGCUUGCUUGGUCGGUCGGUUCAUCUUGACUGGUAAACUGUGUUCAAUAAACAUAUUUAUGCGUGCAUAUUUUUUUACAUAAUCCUUUUGGUAGGAUGAUGCCUUAAAUUCUUAACUUUUGGUAAAAGAAAUAUUACGGUUUACUGACAGCCUACUUGUUCAUUGUUCAUGGACCACAUCUACACGACCAUAUUGUUCGAGACUUAUGGCAGGAAAAACCAGCUAUCAUUAUACUGAUGACAGGUUAUUGUGGUAAGGACCAUUUACCUAUCCUCUAUGGAAGAACAUGUACUCUACUGUGGUGAACCUGUAAGCAGCAGCUCAUAUCUCCCUUGCUCUAAAUUGUGUAGCUUUGCGAUGUAUGUACAUCAUGAGUGUUUUUGGCUUGGUCGAAUGUAAUAAAAUCUCUCUCUCUCUCUCUCUCUCUCUCUUGUAGCAUGAGGUACCUGAUGAUUAAAUGUGAUAUUGGUACCAUGAUGGGUCUUGUCAAUUCACUAUAUUUGAGAUUGGUUUGGUUUGUACAAAUAUGAUUUAAUUUUCCUUGGCUGAACAAAAUUAUAGAUUGUGAUUGGGUACA